GACAGAGGGUGCAAACGUUGUUCGGAAUUACUGGGCGUAAAGCGCAUGUAGGCGGCUCGUAAAGUCAGAUGUGAAAGCCCUGGGCUUAACCCAGGAAGUGCAUUUGAAACUCACGAACUUGAGUCCCGGAGAGGAAGGCGGAAUUCUCGGUGUAGAGGUGAAAUUCGUAGAUAUCGAGAGGAACAUCGGUGGCGAAGGCGGCCUUCUGGACGGUGACUGACGCUGAGAUGCGAAAGCGUGGGGAGCAAACAGG
rnacentral:rRNA from 1 species